UACGGAGGGUGCAAGCGUUGUCCGGAAUCACUGGGCGUAAAGGGCGCGUAGGCGGCUCAUGAAGGCUGUGGUGAAAGUCCGGGGCUCAACCUCGGAUCGGCCGUGGCGACUCGUGGGCUGGAGCACUGUAGAGGCGGGUGGAAUUCCGGGUGUAGCGGUGGAAUGCGUAGAGAUCCGGAAGAACACCGGUGGCGAAGGCGGUCUGCUGGGGCAGUUGCUGACACUGAGGCGCGACAGCGUGGGGAGCAAACAGGG
rnacentral:rRNA from 1 species